UACGAGCCUCACAACCGUUAUUCGGAAUCACUGGGCUUAAAGGGUGCGUAGGCGGUGUGGAAAGUCGGAUGUGAAAUACCUCAGCUUAACUGAGGAACUGCACUCGAUACUUCCAUGCUAGAGUAAGACAGAGGUGAGUGGAACUGAGGGUGGAGCGGUGAAAUGCGUUGAUAUCCUCAGGAACACCGGUGGCGAAGGCGACUCACUGGGUCUUUACUGACGCUGAUGCACGAAAGCUAGGGUAGCAAACGGG
rnacentral:rRNA from 1 species